rnacentral:rRNA from 1 species
AGAGUUUGAUCCUGGCUCAGGAUGAACGCUGGCGGCGUGCCUAAUACAUGCAAGUCGAGCGAACCACUUCGGUGGUGAGCGGCGAACGGGUGAGUAACACGUAGGUGAUCUGCCCAUCAGACGGGGACAACGAUUGGAAACGAUCGCUAAUACCGGAUAGGACGAAAGUUUAAAGGUGCUUCUGGCACCGCUGAUGGAUGAGCCUGCGGCGCAUUAGCUAGUUGGUAGGGUAAAGGCCUACCAAGGCGACGAUGCGUAGCCGACCUGAGAGGGUGAACGGCCACACUGGGACUGAGACACGGCCCAGACUCCUACGGGAGGCAGCAGUAGGGAAUCUUCGGCAAUGGGGGCAACCCUGACCGAGCAACGCCGCGUGAGUGAAGAAGGUUUUCGGAUCGUAAAGCUCUGUUGUAAGUCAAGAACGAGUGUGAGAGUGGAAAGUUCACACUGUGACGGUAGCUUACCAGAAAGGGACGGCUAACUACGUGCCAGCAGCCGCGGUAAUACGUAGGUCCCGAGCGUUGUCCGGAUUUAUUGGGCGUAAAGCGAGCGCAGGCGGUUUGAUAAGUCUGAAGUUAAAGGCUGUGGCUCAACCAUAGUUCGCUUUGGAAACUGUCAAACUUGAGUGCAGAAGGGGAGAGUGGAAUUCCAUGUGUAGCGGUGAAAUGCGUAGAUAUAUGGAGGAACACCGGUGGCGAAAGCGGCUCUCUGGUCUGUAACUGACGCUGAGGCUCGAAAGCGUGGGGAGCGAACAGGAUUAGAUACCCUGGUAGUCCACGCCGUAAACGAUGAGUGCUAGGUGUUGGCCAGAGAUGGUCGGUGCCGCAGCAAACGCAAUAAGCACUCCACCUGGGGAGUACGACCGCAAGGUUGAAACUCAAAGGAAUUGACGGGGACCCGCACAAGCGGUGGAGCAUGUGGUUUAA